rnacentral:rRNA from 1 species
UGGAGAGUUUGAUCCUGGCUCAGGACGAACGCUGGCGGCGUGCCUAAUACAUGCAAGUAGAACGCUGAAGGGAGAGCUUGCUCUUCUGGAUGAGUUGCGAACGGGUGAGUAACGCGUAGGUAACCUGCCUGGUAGCGGGGGAUAACUAUUGGAAACGAUAGCUAAUACCGCAUAAUAGUAGAUGUUGCAUGACAUUUGCUUGAAAGGUGCAAUUGCAUCACUACCAGAUGGACCUGCGUUGUAUUAGCUAGUUGGUGGGGUAACGGCUCACCAAGGCGACGAUACAUAGCCGACCUGAGAGGGUGAUCGGCCACACUGGGACUGAGACACGGCCCAGACUCCUACGGGAGGCAGCAGUAGGGAAUCUUCGGCAAUGGACGGAAGUCUGACCGAGCAACGCCGCGUGAGUGAAGAAGGUUUUCGGAUCGUAAAGCUCUGUUGUAAGAGAAGAACGAGUGUGAGAGUGGAAAGUUCACACUGUGACGGUAUCUUACCAGAAAGGGACGGCUAACUACGUGCCAGCAGCCGCGGUA